CGAGUGGCGAACGGGUGAGUAAUAUAUCGGAACGUGCCUAGUAAUGGGGAACAACUAAUCGAAAGGUUAGCUAAUACCGCAUACGACCUACGGGUGAAAGCAGGGGAUCUUCGGACCUUGCGUUAUUAGAGCGGCCGAUAUCUGAUUAGCUUGUUGGUGAGGUAAAGGCUCACCAAGGCGACGAUCAGUAGCUGGUUUGAGAGAACGACCAGCCACACUGGAACUGAGACACGGCCCAGACUCC
rnacentral:rRNA from 1 species